rnacentral:rRNA from 1 species
CCUACGGGUGACUGCAGUGAGGAAUAUUGGUCAAUGGGCGCGAGCCUGAACCAGCCAAGUCGCGUGAGGGAGGACGGCCCUACGGGUUGUAAACCUCGUUUGCCGGGGAGCAACGGGCGUCACGUGUGGCGCCACGGAGAGGACCCGGAGAAAAAGCAGCGGCUAACUCCGUGCCAGCAGCCGCGGUAAUACGGAGGAUGCGAGCGUUAGCCGGAUUUAUUGGGUUUAACGGGGGCGUAGGCGGAUCGUUAAGUCAGUGGUCAACUUGAGGGGCUCAACCCCUUCCCGCCAUUGAAACUGGCGCUCUUGAGUGGAAGAGACGUCUGCGGAAUGCGUGGUGUAGCG